CAGUUGAGUGAGAUAUGACUGGCCAGACGUCACAGGCACAAGAUGAAAACUCACGGCAAAUGCUUUCGUUUUGAGGCCUGCUGAUGGAUAAGUGGACAAUGUGUCACAGACAGGUUAAGAUUUCAUGCCUGCUGGUGGGUCGGCUUCCGUAAUCCUAAAACAUCAACUGUCAGCUCCAAAGCAAACACCGCCGACUCCAGGACGGAAAGGAAAAAGGAAACAGAGAACGAAUCCAGAGUUCAGCGCUCCAAGACAACCUCUCACAGAGUAAUACACUAUGACAUGAGUCAGGGACUCGCUCCUCUGGUUAUUUCCCAGGCGCUGUGAGAGUUUUUACAAAAGUGAACAAAAAA